rnacentral:rRNA from 1 species
UACGUAGGCAGCAAGCGUUGUUCGGAGUUACUGGGCGUAAGGGUGUGUAGGCGGUUCCUUAAGUUUGCUGUGAAAUCUCCCGGCUUAACCGGGAGGGUGCGGUGAAUACUGAGGGACUAGAGUACGGGAGAGGAAAGUGGAAUUCCUGGUGUAGCGGUGAAAUGCGUAGAUAUCAGGAGGAACACCGGUGGUGUAGACGGCUUUCUGGACCGUAACUGACGCUGAGACACGAAAGCGUGGGUAGCAAACAGG